GAAGAAUGAAAUUUGUGCUUCCAGCACCUUCACGUUGCCGGAGUCUCGGUGGAAAUCUGCUAGUCUGUGUCAACAGCAUAGCUUCACUUCAUCCAGGAAGUUACAGUUUAGGAAAACUUGAACUUAUACUUGAAAUAAAUCUCCAUAGUGGUGCAAGGAGGGAGUUGGAGAGGGCAAUGAAGACAAAAGUCACAGGAUGCUGAAAAAUCUAAGACACUUCAGUGGUUGAAAAGAAUUUGAUGAAUAUUUUGAUAGAUAACUCCCUAGAAGAGAAGUCAGAUGCCACGUUGUGAGCUGUCCUGUAGAGAGCCCACAGGUGAGACACUGAAGUCUUGGGCCAAAAGCUGGCAAGGCCCUGAGGCCUGCAGCCAAUAGCCACAUGGGUGAGCUUGGAAAAGAAUCCCGCAUACCAGUCGAACCUUCAGAAGACUGCAGCCUAGCCGGCAUCUUGAGUGCAACCUCCUGAGAUUCUCUGAGCCAGAACCACCCAGCUCUCAGAAACUGUGAGCUUGGGAAGUUUCUAUUUUCCUGCCUUCACACGCACUGAUUUUUUUCCCCAUGGCCAUGGAGAUUUGGGAGUGAAAUGGAAGAAUGGGAAAGAGGUCAAGUUUGAAAGGUGAGCAUGUACCACAGGAGAAGUCUCUGCAGACUCAUUGCAGAAUUUAAUUCCCACUACAGAACAGGAAUAUUAGAACAUUGCCCUACGCCUCCCACACCACCACCCGCCACCAACAGAUAUAAACAGCUACAUGGAAGAAGAAAGCUCUGGACAGUCUGUUAAACGCCAGAACUCUAAAGACUGGGGACACUCUCUUGUUUUAAAUUUUUACAGAUAAGUUAUUUCGGGAAGAAGAAACCAAACACUAGAAGUAGCUGUAGUGUUUUUCUGUCUGUUUUUCAUACUGUGUAUUAUUUUCAAAAUUACUCAACUUUUUGAGAAGUAAAAAAGUCAAAAACAAUUGAAUUUCAUAAAAAUAAAUCCAGCUAUGCUAAAUUAUUACAGGAUUCUAGCCUCAGGGCCUGGAAUAAAUUGAGCCAAGCCCAACAUGCUAGGGGAAACAAACAUUUUUAAUAAGGAUUUAAAUAACGUCCGCUAGCAUCGUGCAGCUGAAGAGCCACCUCAAGUACCACUGUGGGGACACCGUGCUAAGUGGGAAAUGUAUCAGGGAAGACUUCGCAGGUUGGAAAGAUGUUUCACAACAAAGUUUCCUUUAGACUGGGCUUGCAUAUGGCACGUACCUAAUGCGGUACUGUUCAUACAUGUUAGAUCUGCAGGUUAAGAUUUUAUAGGAGGAUGUUACAGUUUCAAAGCUGGGCAUAAACUUAGCAAUCAGCUGGUGCCAUGAACCAUUUUUCAACAGAUCUGCAUCAACAGAAGUACAGAAAUUAAGAGUAUGCAUUUAGAAAUGUUUAUAGCAAUUUGAUAGUUAUUUUAUAUCUGUUGCAUCUCAUAAUAAAAAGAACUGGGGAU
rnacentral:lncRNA from 1 species